CACGGUGUGGUUCAUGACUGGGGUGAAGUCGUAACAAGGUAGCCGUAGGGGAACCUGCGGCUGGAUCACCUCCUUACAUA
rnacentral:rRNA from 1 species